UCCCUGGUAGCUCAGAUGGUAAAGCGUCUGCCUCCAAUGCGGGAGACCUAGGUUCGAUCCUGGGUUGGGAA
rnacentral:tRNA from 1 species